UACGUAGGGUGCAAGCGUUGUCCGGAAUUAUUGGGCGUAAAGAGCUCGUAGGCGGUUUGUCGCGUCUGCUGUGAAAACUCGGGGCUUAACCCCGGGCCUGCAGUGGGUACGGGCAGACUAGAGUGCGGUAGGGGAGACUGGAAUUCCUGGUGUAGCGGUGAAAUGCGCAGAUAUCAGGAGGAACACCUAUUGCGAAGGCAGCUCGCUGGGACGUUACUGGACGCUGAGACGCGAAAGCGUGGGGAGCAAACAGG
rnacentral:rRNA from 1 species